GCGUUUAUAGCGCAAGCGGUAGAGCGCGAGCUUCUCAUACUGCAGGUCAGGGGAUCGAAUCCCCUUGGGCGCA